GAAAAGAAACUAACAAGGAUUCCCCUAGUAACGGCGAGUGAAGCGGGAAGAGCUCAAAUUUGAAAUCUGGCAGUCUUCGAUUGUCCGAGUUGUAAUCUAUAGAGGCGUUUUCCGUGCCGGACCGUGUCCAAGUCUCCUGGAAAGGAGUAUCAAAGAGGGUGAUAAUCCCGUACUUAACACGACCACCGGUGCUCUGUGAUACGUCUUCUACGAGUCGAGUUGUUUGGGAAUGCAGCUCAAAAUGGGUGGUGAAUUCCAUCUAAAGCUAAAUAUUGGCGAGAGACCGAUAGCGAACAAGUACCGUGAGGGAAAGAUGAAAAGCACUUUGGAAAGAGAGUUAAACAGUACGUGAAAUUGUUGAAAGGGAAACGAUUGAAGUCAGUCGUGUUCUUUGGAUUCAGCCAGUUCUGCUGGUCUACUUCCUUGGAACGGGUCAACAUCAGUUUUGUCCGGUGGAUAAAGGUAGUAGGAAUGUGACUUCUCCGGAAGUGUUAUAGCCUAUUAUCACAUACACUGGGUGAGACUGAGGACUGCAGCUCGCCUUUAUGGCCGGCCUUCGGGCACGUUCGAGCUUAGGAUGUUGACAUAAUGGCUUUAAACGACCCGUC
rnacentral:rRNA from 1 species